rnacentral:rRNA from 1 species
UACAGAGGUCCCAAGCGUUGUUCGGAUUUACUGGGCGUAAAGGGUGCGUAGGCGGUCGGGUAAGUCUGGCGUGAAAUCUCCAAGCCUAACUUGGAAACUGCGUUGGAUACUAUCCGGCUCGAGGAAUGGAGGGGAGACUGGAAUACUUGGUGUAGCAGUGAAAUGCGUAGAUAUCAAGUGGAACACCAGUGGCGAAGGCGAGUCUCUGGACAUUUCCUGACGCUGAGGCACGAAAGCCAGGGGAGCAAACGGG